UAAAGAAAGCGUAAUAGCUCACUGGUCGAGUCGGCCUGCGCGGAAGAUGUAACGGGGCUAAACCAUGCACCGAAGCUGCGGCAGCGACACUAUGUGUUGUUGGGUAGGGGAGCGUUCUGUAAGCCGUCGAAGGUGUGCUGUGAGGCAUGCUGGAGGUAUCAGAAGUGCGAAUGCUGACAUAAGUAACGAUAAAGCGGGUGAAAAGCCCGCUCGCCGGAAGACCAAGGGUUCCUGUCCAACGUUAAUCGGGGCAGG
rnacentral:rRNA from 1 species